UCAUGUAAAAAUGAUCCUCUAGAAAAAUCAUGUAAAAAGAACAUGUUUUUGGGUGUCAAAGCAAAAAAAAAAAGCAUUUGAAAACUUUGUUUAUUUCCACUUUUUUUAAGCAUGGCUCAUUAGGCGUUUUUUCUUCGACUUCUUUACAACUAGAAUUUGUUAUUAGGAAAUUGGUCAGAAGAAACCGUUAUUUUCCAUCUUUGCUGAAACACAUUGCCGGAUUGUGCAUUUGCCUAGUACCAUUACAUUUGCCUAGUACCAUUACAAUUGCCAGAUUUCCACAACACAUCACUUGGCCUAAAACGGAAAGUUUCAGUUUUUCCACGAUACCUCCUAAUGCUUUUCUUUGUUUUCUUCUCCCCUUGUCCUUUCUCCUCCCGCAGAGUGCAACAGCGUCAACGAAACCUAGCGGGCUGCUAUGUUAAACUGUUUUAUGAGUUAAACAUGUGUUCAAUUUGGAAUAUAUGCCUGAAUUUUAAACCUAUGAUUAUGCGGACUGUUAAGGUUCGACUUGAUGCUAAUUGCUAACCAAUUUUGUAAUCAAAUAAUGUCCAGAGUUGACACGCGUGCUGUCGUUUGGGGCCAAAAUUUAAAUUAGGAAAAAAAACCAUUCAAAACCAUCAUUGCCCAAAGCAAAAAACGUCAUUCAAAAAGAAAAAAGAGUCAAAAUUUAUGUUUUGGACUAGCCGGUGUGUUGUGGCAAGUGACCA
rnacentral:lncRNA from 1 species